rnacentral:rRNA from 1 species
GACGAACGCUGGCGGCGUGCCUAAUACAUGCAAGUCGAGCGCAGGAAACUGACGGAACUCUUCGGAGGGAAGGCAGUGGAAUGAGCGGCGGACGGGUGAGUAACACGUAAGGAACCUGCCUCAAGGAUUGGGAUAACUCCGAGAAAUCGGAGCUAAUACCGGAUAGUUCAACGGACCGCAUGGUCCGCUGAUGAAAGGCGCUCCGGCGUCACCUUGAGAUGGCCUUGCGGUGCAUUAGCUAGUUGGUGGGGUAACGGCCCACCAAGGCGACGAUGCAUAGCCGACCUGAGAGGGUGAUCGGACACACUGGGACUGAGACACGGCCCAGACUCCUACGGGAGGCAGCAGUAGGGAAUCUUCCACAAUGGACGAAAGUAUGAUGGAGCAACGCCGCGUGAGUGAUGAAGGUUUUCGGAUCGUAAAACUCUGUUGUAAGGGAAGAACACGUACGAGAGGAAAUGCUCGUACCUUGACGGUACCUUACGAGAAAGCCACGGCUAACUACGUGCCAGCAGCCGCUGUAACAC